GGGAAUGUGGCUUAGUGGUAGAGUGCUCGCCUAACAUGUGUGAAGCCCUAGGUUCAAUUCCUCAGUACCA
rnacentral:tRNA from 1 species